rnacentral:rRNA from 1 species
GCAGCAGUGGGGAAUAUUGGACAAUGGGCGCAAGCCUGAUCCAGCAAUACCGCGUGUGUGAAGAAGGCCUUAGGGUUGUAAAGCACUUUCAAUUGGGAGGAAAACCUGCCGGUCAAUACCCGGUAGCUUGACAUUACCUUUAGAAGAAGCACCGGCUAACUCCGUGCCAGCAGCCGCGGUAAUACGGAGGGUGCGAGCGUUAAUCGGAAUUACUGGGCGUAAAGCGUGCGUAGGCGGUUCGUUAAGUCAGAUGUGAAAGCCCUGGGCUCAACCUGGGAACUGCAUUUGAAACUGGCGGACUAGAGUUUAGUAGAGGGGAGUGGAAUUUCAGGUGUAGCGGUGAAAUGCGUAGAUAUCUGAAGGAACACCAGUGGCGAAGGCGACUCCCUGGACUAGAACUGACGCUGAGGUACGAAAGCGUGGGUAGCAAACAGGAUUAGAUA